GUCCCCCCCUCCCUGACGGUGCUGCCUCCCUCCGUGGAGGAGCUGCAGCAGGGGAAGGCCACGCUCAUGUGCCUGGCCAACAAGGGCUUCCCCUCAGACUGGAGUCUGUCCUGGAAGGUGGACGGCAGCAGCAGCAUCAGCAACGGGGAGCAGAGCAGGAGCCCCGGGGUGCUGCAGAAGGACGGCCACUACAGCUGGAGCAGCACCCUGAGGCUCCCUGCAGACCAGUGGAGGAAGGUGGUCUCUGUGACCUGUGAGGCCAGCCAGGGCUCCCAGACCCACUCUCAGAGACACUUGAGGAGACCAGUGUUCCCAGUCCUGACCUGACUCACUGGGACUCUCACACUGCUUUCACUCUCUCUCUGCUCUCUGGCUUUUCUUUCACAUCUUCCAAUAACAGGAUUUACUGGCUUCUUGCUGUGUUUCAAUGUUGUUUCACUGCUUCUAAAUAAUAAACAUCUGCUCAUCAACUCA